rnacentral:rRNA from 1 species
GAUGAACGCUGGCGGCGUGCCUAAUACAUGCCAGUCGAGCGAACGGACGAGAAGCUUGCUUCUCUGAUGUUAGCGGCGGACGGGUGAGUAACACGUGGAUAACCUACCUAUAAGACUGGGAUAACUUCGGGAAACCGGAGCUAAUACCGGAUAAUAUUUUGAACCGCAUGGUUCAAAAGUGAAAGACGGUCUUGCUGUCACUUAUAGAUGGAUCCGCGCUGCAUUAGCUAGUUGGUAAGGUAACGGCUUACCAAGGCAACGAUGCAUAGCCGACCUGAGAGGGGUGUCCGCCAACCUUGAACUUGGACACGGUCCAGACUCCUACGGGAGGCAGCAGUAGGGAAUCUUCCGCAAUGGGCGAAAGCCUGACGGAGCAACGCCGCGUGAGUGAUGAAGGUCUUCGGAUCGUAAAACUCUGUUAUUAGGGAAGAACAUAUGUGUAAGUAACUGUGCACAUCUUGACGGUACCUAAUCAGAAAGCCACGGCUAACUACGUG